GAGGCGCUUUGGAGGCGUUGAUGGCAUCGCUGGGUUCGGUUUGCAGCGGGUGUCCGCUAAGGGAUACGGUGUUCUUCCUGAGCGGGCACGGUUCUCGGUGCCGGGUACUGAGAAAAUACGUCUCCCUUAGAGUCCCACGGAAAGGUUCUCAGUGCGCUCUCUAUCAAGUGCUAUGAGUCUUGAUAAAUUGGAGAAGAGCCCAAGAGAAAUUUUUCAUCCCUUGAUAUAAAAGGGAUCGGUGAAUUUUAACUUUGGAGUCCCCUAUGCUAAGGAUGCUCAGCUUACAGGUGAUGAAAUGUUCAGUAAUGUAUUUGCUGCAGCUCUGCUUACCCAAGCUUUGGGUUCCUUCUGUCCCACUGGGAGUUGCCCAAUUUGGUUGCAUCUGGUGAAAUUCACCCUGAGACCUUACAGAAGCAGCUCCAACUACGUGAGAGCCAUUUGCAGUUCUCUCCAGACGCCUGGAGAAUGGGCGACGUUUCUGAGGAUCCGGCGAGCGUGCUUCUGUCAAAACUCGGUCUGUGAAAUUCCUGGGGAAAACCCUUCUGUGUCCUGAAGGGUUCAAACUCUGGUGAGGAUCCAGUUAUCAGGUGCUCACCUGGAUGGUUCCAGCUCCCAAAGGGAAAGACUCUCGUAUCCUUGUCGUCGGGCUCGGUGCUGUCCAAGAAGAUACAGAGACUAAAAAAUCAUAAGAAGCAAAAUAUGACUGCAGGGAAAAGAAGCUGGAGGGAACAGAAGACUCAUCACGGCGGGACAGCGUGAAGACUGAAAGUGUAAGAAGAUGUGGAGGGAAAGAGAGAAUCUGACAGGAGCAUCGGACGCACGAGUGCAGGAAUUUUGCUUUUUUGCUUGGAUGUAAACUCAGGCGUUGAAAGGAAUUUGGGAGUGAGAAGGGACAUUUCAGAAGGAGAAGAAGCAAAAGAAGUUGUUGUUGUUACAGUCCUGGCAAAAUCUUUUGUUCUAGCUAAUAAAAGAAGUUAGUUUAAAAAACAAAAAGGAAAAAAUGUAGUGGUUUUUUUUUUUCCUUCACUAUGAUAUUCAUUGGUGGUAUAUGGUGUGUUGUUUCAUUUCUUGGUAGUAUUAAGUCUGUGUAAAUUGUUUUUUGAGUGAAGCUGACACUC